GAGUAACGCGUGGGAACGUGCCCUUUGGUACGGAACAACUGAGGGAAACUUCAGCUACUACCGUAUGUGCCCUUCGGGGGAAAGAUUUAUCGCCAUUGGAGCGGCCCGCGUUAGAUUAGCUAGUUGGUAGGGUAAAGGCCUACCAAGGCGACGAUCUAUAGCUGGUCUGAGAGGAUGAUCAGCCACACUGGGACUGAGACACGGCCCAGACUCCUACGGGAGGCAGCAGUAGGGAAUCUUGCGCAAUGGGCGAAAGCCUGACGCAGCCAUGCCGCGUGAAUGAUGAAGGUCUUAGGAUUGUAAAAUUCUUUCACCGGGGACGAUAAUGACGGUACCCGGAGAAGAAGCCCCGGCUAACUUCGUGCCAGCAGCCGCGGUAAUACGAAGGGGGCUAGCGUUGCUCGGAAUUACUGGGCGUAAAGGGAGCGUACGCGGAUAGUUUAGUCAGAGGUG
rnacentral:rRNA from 1 species